AUGAACGCUAGCUACAGGCUUAACACAUGCAAGUCGAGGGGCAGCAUGGUCUUAGCUUGCUAAGGCCGAUGGCGACCGGCGCACGGGUGAGUAACACGUAUCCAACCUGCCGUCUACUCUUGGACAGCCUUCUGAAAGGAAGAUUAAUACAAGAUGGCAUCAUGAGUCCGCAUGUUCACAUGAUUAAAGGUAUUCCGGUAGACGAUGGGGAUGCGUUCCAUUAGAUAGUAGGCGGGGUAACGGCCCACCUAGUCUUCGAUGGAUAGGGGUUCUGAGUGGAAGGUCCCCCACAUUGGAACUGAGACACGGUCCAAACUCCUACGGGAGGCAGCAGUGAGGAAUAUUGGUCAAUGGGCGAGAGCCUGAACCAGCCAAGUAGCGUGAAGGAUGACUGCCCUAUGGGUUGUAAACUUCUUUUAUAAAGGAAUAAAGUCGGGUAUGGAUACCCGUUUGCAUGUACUUUAUGAAUAAGGAUCGGCUAACUCCGUGCCAGCAGCCGCGGUAAUACGGAGGAUCCGAGCGUUAUCCGGAUUUAUUGGGUUUAAAGGGAGCGUAGAUGGAUAUUUAAGUCAGUUGUGAAAGUUUGCGGCUCAACCGUAAAAUUGCAGUUGAUACUGGAUAUCUUGAGUGCAGUUGAGGCAGGCGGAAUUCGUGGUGUAGCGGUGAAAUGCUUAGAUAUCACGAAGAACUCCGAUUGCGAAGGCAGCCUGCUAAGCUGCAACUGACAUUGAGGCUCGAAAGUGUGGGUAUCAAACAGGAUUAGAUACCCUGGUAGUCCACACGGUAAACGAUGAAUACUCGCUGUUUGCGAUAUACUGCAAGCGGCCAAGCGAAAGCGUUAAGUAUUCCACCUGGGGAGUACGCCGGCAACGGUGAAACUCAAAGGAAUUGACGGGGGCCCGCACAAGCGGAGGAACAUGUGGUUUAAUUCGAUGAUACGCGAGGAACCUUACCCGGGCUUAAAUUGCAGAUGAAUUACGGUGAAAGCCGUAAGCCGCAAGGCAUCUGUGAAGGUGCUGCAUGGUUGUCGUCAGCUCGUGCCGUGAGGUGUCGGCUUAAGUGCCAUAACGAGCGCAACCCUUGUUGUCAGUUACUAACAGGUUCCGCUGAGGACUCUGACAAGACUGCCAUCGUAAGAUGUGAGGAAGGUGGGGAUGACGUCAAAUCAGCACGGCCCUUACGUCCGGGGCUACACACGUGUUACAAUGGGGGGUACAGAGGGCCGCUACCACGCGAGUGGAUGCCAAUCCCCAAAACCUCUCUCAGUUCGGACUGGAGUCUGCAACCCGACUCCACGAAGCUGGAUUCGCUAGUAAUCGCGCAUCAGCCACGGCGCGGUGAAUACGUUCCCGGGCCUUGUACACACCGCCCGUCAAGCCAUGGGAGCCGGGGGUACCUGAAGUGCGUAACCGCGAGGAGCGCCCUAGGGUAAAACUGGUGACUGGGGCU
rnacentral:rRNA from 1 species